UGCCUUACACAUGCAAGUCGAACGGCAGCAUGGAGGAGCUUGCUCCUCUGAUGGCGAGUGGCGAACGGGUGAGUAAAGCAGUCGGAACGUGCCGUGUAGUGGGGAUAACGUAGCGAAAGUUACGCUAAUACCGCAUACGCACCGAGGUGGAAAGCAGGGGAUCGCAAGACCUUGCGCUAUACGAGCGGCCGAUGUCAGAUUAGCUAGUUGGUAGGGUAAUGGCUCACCAAGGCGACGAUCUCUAGCUGGUUUGAGAGGAUGAUCAGCCACACUGGAACUGAGACACGGUCCAGACUCCUACGGGAGGCAGCAGUGGGGAAUAUUGGACAAUGGGCGCAAGCCUGAUCCAGCCAUGCCGCGUGUGUGAAGAAGGCCUUAGGGUUGUAAAGCACUUUCAGCGAGGAGGAAGGGGUGAGUGUUAAUAGUACUCAUCUUUGACGUUACUCGCAGAAGAAGCACCGGCUAACUCUGUG
rnacentral:rRNA from 1 species